rnacentral:rRNA from 1 species
GAUAGCGCAGAGGUUCCACCUGUUCCCAUUCCGAACACAGAAGUUAAGCUCUGCCACGCCGACGAUACUUCCUUGGCGACGAGGCGGGAAAAUAGGUACGUGCCGGCA